rnacentral:lncRNA from 1 species
GGGUCGGGGGCAUGACACACUCUCUCUCCAUUUUCAUGUGGUACACUGGAUGUUUAUGUUGAUCUAGAUGGCAUUCAUAGUUGAUAAUUUUAUACUUAUAUAGACAGAUUAAAUUGAUAAUCUAUUUUUUUUCAGUUUCUAUUUUCAUAUAUAUUUGUUAAAUGCAUUAUAUGAUUCUUGUUGAAGUUAAAAAAAGAUAAAU